UUGGAGGGCAAGUCUGGUGCCAGCAGCCGCGGUAAUUCCAGCUCCAAUAGCGUAUAUUAAAGUUGUUGCAGUUAAAAAGCUCGUAGUUGAACUUCGGGAUCAAGGGAUCGGUCAUGCCUUGGUAUGUACUGGUCUUAUUGGUUCUCACCUUCUAAAGAACCAUAAUGUCAUUCAUUUGAUGUUAUGGGGAAUUAGGACUGUUACCUUGAAAAAAUUAGAGUGUUUAAAGCAGGCUUACGCUUGAAUACAUUAGCAUGGAAUAAUGAAAUAGGACAUCCGAUUCUAUUUUGUUGGUUUCUAGGAUCGAUGUAAUGAUUAAUAGGGAUAGUUGGGGGCAUUAGUAUUCAAUUGUCAGAGGUGAAAUUCUUGGAUUUAUUGAAGACUAACUACUGCGAAAGCAUUUGCCAAGGAUGUUUUCAUUAAUCAAGAACGAAAGUUAGGGGAUCGAAGACGAUCAGAUACCGUCGUAGUCUUAACCAUAAACUAUGCCGACUAGGGAUCGGAUGAUGUUAAUUUUUUAAUGACUCAUUCGGCGCCUUACGGGAAACA
rnacentral:rRNA from 1 species